rnacentral:rRNA from 1 species
CCUACGGGCGGCAGCAGUGGGGACUAUUGCGCAAUGCUCGUGAGAGUGACGCAGCGAAGCCGCGUGAAUGACGAAUGCCUUCGGGUCGUAAAGUUCUUUCGACAGGGAAGAAACUGCAUAUAAGUAACUGUGUAUGUAUUUACGGUACCUGUAUAGUCAGCCCCGGCUCACUCCGUGCCAGCAGCCACGGUAAUACGGAGGGGUCGAGCGUUGUUCGGAGGGACUGGGCGUAAAGGGAACGUAGGCGGUGUUGUAAGUCAUUAGUCAAAGACUAGAGCUCAACUGUAGUAAGGCUAGUGAGACGAGAAGACUAGAGUAUCAGAGAGGAUGGCAGAAUUCCUGGUGUAGCGGUGAAAUGCUUAGAUAUCAGGAGGAAUACCGAUAGCGAAGGCAGCAAACUGGCUGGAAACUGACACUGAGGUGCGAAAGCGUGGGUAGCAAACAGGAUUAGAUACCCUAGUAGUC